rnacentral:rRNA from 1 species
AAGAAGAGAAAAAGGUGGAAGAUUGUGAGGACUGAGUGUCCAGCCCACCUUUAUCUUACGCACAAGGAUGCGUGGUGGAGAGUCGAACGCUUUGACGACAACCACAACCACCCACUGAUAAGAAAACCUUCCCUGACAAAAUUUCUAGCAUCACAUCGGAACAUUCCCAAAGACGAGCAUGAUUUCUUACGGAUUCUGCACGAAUGCAACAUAGAGACCGCGAGGCAAAUGCAACUAAUUUCAUGGUUUUAUGGUGCUGCUGAGAAUGUACCAUACACAACAUAGGACCUUGCAAAUCAGCGAGCCAAAUUUCACAAGGAGUACCGUAAUGCGGACGUGGGGAACACGAUUGCAUGCUUUGAGGAGCUCAGGGCAAAGGAUCCAUAUUUCUAUUGGAGAAUGAAACUUGAUAAUGAAGACAGGGUGGAAAACAUGUUCUUGAUAGCUGGCGCCCCACGCAGGGCAUACGCAAAAUACAACGACAUUGUGUUGUUCGACACAACGUACAUGACUAAUAUGUACAAGAUGUCGUGUGCGCCCUUCAUUGGCAUUAACCACGGGCAAUCAAUCCAAUUCGGUUGUGGUUUCUUUCAAAACGAACUUACAGACAACUUUGUGUGGAUGCUUAACAUGCGAUGGGUGGGGUCGCACCAAAGAACAUAA